rnacentral:rRNA from 1 species
GGGCGCAGCCUGAUCCAGCCAUGCCGCGUGAGUGAAGAAGGCCUUCGGGUUGUAAAGCUCUUUCGGUGAGGACGAAACGGUUAGCGCUAAUAACCCUGACUAGUGACGGUACUCACAGAAGAAGCACCGGCUAACUACGUG